AGUUACCACCUCCGUUUUCUUCUUGAUAUCUAUCUCUCACUCCGUAUUUUGUUUCCUUCUCUCCUGUAAUUGUCCAUCGCUUCUGGGUAUCAUUUUACCAUUUGUGGUUCUAAUUUUCAUUCGUUACUUUUGGGCUAUGGAAUUUAAACUACGCAGACUAAUGAAUCCAAGGUGUUCGGUGAUAUGCCUGAAAUAACUAACUAUUUAAUCCAGGUACCUCUACUCAGGCUUACCAUUCUUG